UAAACCUGAAAUGAAAAAUCGGAAAUACAUCACGUAAACCACAGGCCAGACCACCAGUCAACUUACAAUUACAUCCUGGUUCUCUUGCUAAAGGACAGUGACUGUUUCAUCCACAACGAUAAUGAAGGAAACAACGAUACUCGCCAUUUUUCUCAUUGGGUUUGUCGCCUGCUCCGUUCUUGCGCAGGAGGAGCCGGAUGAGAGCUGUAUUGCACCCAAUGGCGCCAAAAUUGAAGGAGGGGAGACAAAAUUUAUCGACCCCUGCACGUUUUGUCGCUGUUCUGAGGGGAUAGAGGAAGCGAUGUGUGGAAGCAUCGACUGUCCCCGCACCAGCUGCGAUAAACCUGUUAAUGUGGAGGGGAAGUGUUGUCCUGUGUGUCAGUAAAACGGGAUAUGAGUAAAGAACAAAACGAAAAAAGAAGAAAAAACUUUUUUUAGCACCUGAACUUCACUGUGAUCACCUGUUUUGUAAUUCCUGUUUCCACAUCAGCGAACCUUUAAAUCAUUGUAAAUUAUUCUGUCCGUCGUGUGUACAUAUCAACCAUUAUUCGUUAUGUGUAUAAAUAUUUCAUUAAAUAACAAAGGUAUUCUAUAAAACGUUUUUAUUUUUUCAAUUCUAACGUACAUUUACAUCUCUGGAAUAAAAACAUAUAACACAAAUAUUUUACAACAUGUCCCAGGAUUUGAAAAUAAAUCUUUCCUAAAAUUUAAA